UUGGUUUGCUUGCAAACCAAAGCUGGCGACCGGCGCACGGGUGAGUAACACGUAUCCAACCUACCUCAUACUCGGGGAUAGCCUUUCGAAAGAAAGAUUAAUAUCCGAUAGCAUAUAUUUCCCGCAUGGGUUUUAUAUUAAAGAAAUUCGGUAUGAGAUGGGGAUGCGUUCCAUUAGUUUGUUGGGGGGGUAACGGCCCACCAAGACUACGAUGGAUAGGGGUUCUGAGAGGAAGGUCCCCCACAUUGGAACUGAGACACGGUCCAAACUCNUACGGGAGGCAGCAGUGAGGAAUAUUGGUCAAUGGACGCGAGUCUGAACCAGCCAAGUAGCGUGAAGGAUGACUGCCCUAUGGGUUGUAAACUUCUUUUAUAUGGGAAUAAAGUGGUCCACGUGUGGACUUUUGUAUGUACCAUAUGAAUAAGGAUCGGCUAACUCCGUGCCAGCAGCCGCGGUAAUACGGAGGAUCCGAGCGUUAUCCGGAUUUAUUGGGUUUAAAGGGAGCGUAGGCGGAUUGUUAAGUCAGUUGCGAAAGUUUGCGGCUCAACCGUAAAAUUGCAGUUGAUACUGGCAGUCUUGAGUGCAGUAGAGGUGGGCGGAAUUCGUGGUGUAGCGGUGAAAUGCUUAGAUAUCACGAAGAACUCCGAUUGCGAAGGCAGCUCACUGGAG
rnacentral:rRNA from 1 species